UACGUAGGGAGCAAGCGUUUGUCCGGAUUUAUUGGGCGUAAAGCGCACGCAGGCGGUUUAGUCAGUCUCUACUGACAGUGUCCGGCUCAACCGGGCAAGUGGUAGGGAAACUGCUAAACUUGAGGGCUUCAGAGGGAUGGGGGAACUCCAGGUGGAGUGGUGAAAAUGCGUAGAUAUCUGGAAGAACACCAAUGGCGAAGGCACCAUCUGGGAAGCAUCUGACGCUCAGGUGCGAAAAGCUAGGGGGAGCGAACGGG
rnacentral:rRNA from 1 species